rnacentral:lncRNA from 1 species
UUGGAUGGCACCAUUUCUGCUCUCAAACAGUUUAAAAGAUCCCUGUGCAGAAAAAGACGUAUUUAGAACAUUUUGGUUGGUAAGGUGAUAUGUAACAAACUUGAGAUCUUAUAGGAUAGGAGAACACUAGGACACUAAUUAGGAACUGGUCCCAGGAACAAAGACCUUCUGGACUCAUCUGACAAGAUAAGAAUCAUCAAGCAUUCUUCCAGCAGAAAGUGACAAAGCCCUCCUUGAGCUGCUCAUGAGAAUUCACAAAUUUUUCAGAUAAAAGAUGCCUAUUUUAUUCUGGCUGAAAGCAUGAACAGAAUAAACAAUGAGCUCUGUGAAGAAUGUUCUAUGAACCCGAAUCAAACUCAAACUCCUGUGUCACUCCGGUACGCCUGAUCACUGGAUAUAACCACGUAUUGGUCCAGAACCUCCCUCUCUGUUACUACUCCCUUUGGAUUUAUCCAGUAGUCUUAGACGUCACCAGGGCCAAGCCAUGCAUAUAUAGAUUGAAAUGUUGUUUUCAAAACCUACUCAAGCUAUCUCUUGAUGAACAAGAUUAGUACCAUCUGAUUACAACCCUGAAGAGUCUAGAUUCCUUAUUCUGCAAAAUGGAUUUAUUGUAUCUCAAGGCACUGUGAAGUUUGCAGUAGCAUGUAUAGGCAAAAAGGAAAGUCCAAAGAGAGGAAAAGAAAGCAGGAGAGAUCUGAAAUGACACAAGAAGUGACUCAGAAUGGGAAGAUUGUGCACUCCUUGUUGUCCCCUAAUGCACAUGGAAGUAUGCAACAGAAGCUGUGAAAAUAACCCAGAGAGAAAGAAAAAAAUGAUGUAAAUUUAAACAUAGCAUAUUCUGGAAACAGUAUGCUUAUGGAACAGCCAGAGAGAUUUUCAAAACUUGAUCAUCUAAAUGCAGAGAACAGUUUCAAGGCUCUUUCUCACUUUCUCAUUUGAUUCCUGCAAUUGAAGCCAUCUGCUAUGCUGUGUCCUGUUCUUUGGAUCAGCACAUAUGACAAGGAAGUGAAAGUAGUCUCUGUCCAACAAUCAGUCUAACAGCCUGAGAAGAACUGAAUUCUGUCAAUGACCACGUAAGCUUCGAAGCAGACCUUUCGCUUGUUGAGCCUUCAGAUAGACAGCAGCCCUAGCUGACAUCUUAACUGCAGUCUUGUGACAGGUCCUCAGACAGGAUAAGCCAAAUUAUACCCAGACUGCUGAUCCACAGAAAAUGAGAGGAAACUCCAGGAUUCUAAAAGUAAAGCCCUAUGGAAAUAAAUCAAUAACAUUUCAAAUGAAGAACCAAAAUCGGGAAAUGCAAAUCACAACUCUAACAUCAACAUUAACUUAUAGCCAGACAAUUAUGCAUUUCUUUAGUCAACAACUAGCUGCUAAUUAUUUACUAUGUGUCAAGUCUUAUAAUGCUGAAGUGAAGAAAAGAGAUUUAAAGUCAUGGAUGUGGUUUCCUUUGGACCUUAAAUUCUAGCACAAAAUAUGAUAAACAUUGUAAUCAAUGCUAUCAUGUACAGGUAUGUGGUGUUAUGUGAAUAUAUGGGAAUACCUAAUUCGUAAACUGGGUUUAGAAAAUUCUUGCAGAAGAAAGUGGCAUCCAAACAAAGAACCAAGAACGAAUAAAAAUUAUUAUAGAUAAAGUGAAGCGGGUCUAGUGGAAUGACAAAAUUACUGAGUGUCAAGAGGUGGAAGGACUUGGUGAAUAAUUUGAAAAGGAACCAUCGGAGGAUGAUGGCCACAUUUCUGGCUCCAGCCAUCAGUAUGAACUUAUGGUUGAAGGCAUUCUCAGGGGUUAACAAGAAUUCUGGACAGAAAUAUGGCUAUAAUGACAUGGAGGCCAGCUUAUACAGAUGGCAAAAUCACAAGAUUGAAAGAUACUGAAUCAUUGAGUCACUACCUUGUAGAGACCUAUUCAGGAAAACAGGCUGGCAUCAGACCAACCAGUUUGAGUAUGAAACUUCAAAUAGCCA